CACAGUUCUCUCAACGUCUCCCCCUUCCGAUGUCUCUUUGUCUUCACCCUCGUUCAUCUCGCAGCUGGCCGGUCCAGCCGAGCGGCGGAUGUGUGAGGGGAGUGAUUCAGAAGGUGACAGGAAGCCAGCAGCCUGCCUGCCAUCCUUGUGUGUUGGUGACAGCAGAGAGAGCAGGGAGCCAGAGAAGGAUGGGCCUCCCAGAGUGAGGGCAGCUGUCGGGCUCCUAGGCAGAAGACGCCCAGAGACAUGGAUCAUACCGAGCUGCUUGGGGCCGGAGCCUCCCUUCUGCUCCUUGGGGCUGUGGCGGGCAUGUGCGUGUGGUGUCCCCGCUUAGGCACGAGGAGGUCCAAGCAGAUCUUUUAUGAGCAGAGGGAUGAGGGACGGCAGAGUUUUGCAGUGGCCCGGACCUUUUCUAGAAGGACAAGUGGCUGUACUCCAUGGCUGAGGCAGAAGAUCCUGACAUCACCAGGUAUCAGAACCUCAGGAAAGGAAGCAGAAGAGAAUCAGAGCCCUCCUAUGUGUAAGCUGGUUUUUCCCUCUCAUGGGGUCUCCUUCAUGUUGGCUUUCCUUCUCAUUAUAUACAGGGGAUAGAAAAGUGGGGAGGGGGUGGGGACGUUCACCUGACAGAACCAGGCCAUUCGGACCCCUUUCUGAACUCUGGAGUGUUUAUGUCACAGGCUGGACGCUGCUGCCUGGCCUCUGAGCCCACCUCCUUCUCAAGGCCUCAAAAGAGGCUCCAAAUCUCAGACCCAAUGCCGGGAGGGGGGGGGGGAGAGAGAAGAGGAGGGGAGGUGGAGACUAAAACAGGGAAAUAAGCAAACACCCAGGCUCGGUACCGGGGAACAAGGAGGCCAUCCCUGGUAUAAUGGGGGACAGUCCUUGCCCUCCCAGAGGGCUUUUUAACACUGAGCCCUUAGAAAGUCUGCUGAAACCCGGGGACUACUCAGGAUCCUGCUUGUAAAGACUUAAAAUAAAAUUCAUAAGAUGCAAAACCAAUAUUGAGAUCCAGUGAUAGCUAUCUAUCCAUCCUGUCCAUGUACUCAUCUAUUAAGCAAUCCAUUCAUCUAUCAAUGCAUCUGCCCACCCAUCCAUCUUUUCAUCUAUCCACCCAUUUAUCCAUCUUGUCAAUCCAUCUAGCUAUUCAUCCAUCCUUCCAUAUCCAUCCAUUUAUCUAUUGAUCCGUACAUCCAUCUAUAUAACUUUCUAUCUAGUCAUCCAUUUCUCUGCCUAUUCAUCUAUCAAUCCAUCUAUCCAUCUAUCUACCCAUUUAUCCACGUAUUUGUAUAUCCAUCUUGUCUAUCCAUCUAUCCAUUCUUAUUUACUUCCUUCUUUCCUUUUUUCUUUUUCUUUCCUACUCUCCCUUCCCUUCCUCCCUUCCUCCCUUUCUUCCUUCCUUCCUUUCUUUCUUUUUUUCUUCCUUCUCUUUUUCUUUCUUCUCUUUCUUCUUUCUUUUCUUCCUUCCCUCCCUCCCUCUCUCCUUCCUUCCUUCCUUUCUACUUUUCAUUUCUUCUCUUACUCCAAGUUUACCCUGCUCUAGUCGGACUGGAGAGACCUCAGUUCUGAUGGAGACAUUGCCUGCCCUCAGGGACUAUAAGCUCAUCUAUCUAAAGCUGAAAGAGACCUCAGAGAGCAUCUAGUCCGAGCAAUUCAUUUUAUAGCUGAGGAAAUUGAGGCUUAAAGAUAGCAAAUGAAUUGCCCAAAGUCAUACAGGUAGCAAGCAGAAGAGAUGAGAUUCUGAUCUCUGUCCCUCUGAUUCCAAACCCAGCAUCCUUCCUGCUGGACCAAGUUUUCCUCAUUUGUAAAAAUAAGAUUAGACUAAAUUUAAUCCCUAAAGUCCCUUUAACUCUACAGCUACUCUACAACGUACAACUCUUUAAUUAUAAGAUUAUAUCUUCUGUUUACUUAGCUGUAAUUGGUAUAUCUUUUUGACCCUUCCUCCUCCCUCCCAUCUAUCGGAACAAAAGGUUUUGGUGGUUUGGGGGUUUGUUUCUUUUUUAGAAAAAGGGGGAGAGAAACCAAGUGAUGCAAAGAAAAAGCCUGACAGUAUCUGCAAUGUUCCAUCCAUGUGCCCUGUCCCUCCCCAAUCAUUCCCACCCCCAGUCUCUCUUCUUGGGGCCAACCUUGUUCUUUAGAAUUUGACCAAAACUUUAUUUUUAUGUCAUUGUCCUUUCCAUUUACUUGGUUUUGAUCAUUGUGUAUGUCAUUUCCCCUGGUUAUGGUCAUUGUGUAUUUCUUUCCCCCUGGUUAUGGUUAUUGUGUAUUUCUUUCCCCCAGGUUAUGGUCAUUGUGUAUUUCUUUCCCCCUGGUUAUGGUCAUUGUGUAUUUCUUUCCCCCUGGUUCUGGUCAUUGUGUAUGUCUUUCCCCCAGGUUAUGAUCAUUGUGUAUUUCUUUCCCCCUGGUUCUGGUCAUUGUGUAUUUCUUUCCCCCAGGUUAUGGUCAUUGUGUAUUUCUUUCCCCCUGGUUCUGGUCAUUGUGUAUUUCUUUCCCCGGUUAUGGUUAUUGUGUAUUUCUUUCCCCCAGGUUAUUGUCAUUGUGUAUGUUGUUUCCCCCUGGUUAUGGUCAUUGUGUAUUUCUUUCCCCCUGGUUCUGAUCAUUGUGUAUUUCUUUCCCCCUGGUUCUGAUCAUUGUGUAUUUCUUUCCCCCUGGUUCUGAUCAUUGUGUAUUUCUUUCCCCCAUAUGGUCAUUGUGUAUUUCUUUCCCCCUGGUUAUAGUCAUUGUGUAUUUCUUUCCCCCUGGUUAUGGUCAUUGUGUAUUUCUUUCCCCCUGGUUAUGGUCAUUGUGUAUUUCUUUCCCCGGAUAUGGUCAUUGUGUAUGUCGUACCCCCUGGCUCUCCUUCCUUCGUGGACAUCUGUCUGUCUUUCCAUUCUUUUCUAGCUUCUCUCUUCCCCUCCAAGGUUCCUUCCAUCUCUACAUCUGAUGAUUUUAUAACCUAAAUGGAGGGUGGGGCAGGUGGCUGUUGUCCACAGUAGCUCGCUGAGCCCAAAUAAGUCAGGAGAGAACAGCCCUGUUUUCAUGAAAUGUGGUCAGAAAUUGAAAAACAAAAUUUGAAGUUGCCCUUUGAGCUGAUGGAAAUUAUUGACAUCAUAAACAUUGUGGGAGGGAUGAGAGGGUGAGAAGCAAAAUAACCUUAAAUAGCAACAACAUUUAAACAAAAACAACUCGGAGGGGGAAAGGAAGCUCAGAAAGGCCGACCUUGACCUCCUGCCAGCCUCACACCUCAGCAGGAUGAGCCAUCUUGGAGGGGGGCAUCUCAUAUUUUUUUUCUCCUCCAGAGAUCCCAUUUCAACAGAUUAUUAUAACCUUGGGCAGCUCCCGAAGCAACUAAAAGGUAGGGAGGACUCCAGAUGUGGGUGUGAGCCAGAGAAGGGAGGAGGAAGGUGGCCACAGGACUCGGGAUGGUUAAAGUCGACCCUGACUCAUGUUGGGAUUUCAAAAGGCAAAAGGGAUGGGCAGGGAAAUUCCAGACAGGAGGCUGGGUGAAGCAAUCAAUCAAUCAAGCAUUUAUUAAGCACCGACUGUGUGCCAGACUACUGGGUUCUGAAGCUGUCAGGAGAAAGAAUAGAAUAACUUCCUAAAAAAAAGGAAAGUAAAAUUGCUACCCUAAUGAGGAAGACAAUGAGUACAUUUGAAAAAUAUGUACAAGGGGCGGCCAGGUGGCGCUACGGAUAGAGCACCAGCCCUGAAGUCAGGAGGUCUGGCUUCAAAUUUAACCUCAGACUCCAGCCGUGUGUCCCUGGGCAAGUCACUUAACCCCAAUUGCCACAAUUUUUUCCCUACAUGUCAUGAAUCCAUUUGGACUUC
ensembl:lncRNA